rnacentral:rRNA from 1 species
CUGUCGUCAGCUCGUGUCGUGAGAUGUGGGUUAAGUCCCGUAACGAGCGCAACCCUUGUCCUUAGUUACCAGCACGUUAUGGUGGGCACUCUAAGGAGACUGCCGGUGACAAACCGGAGGAAGGUGGGGAUGACGUCAAGUCAUCAUGGCCCUUACGGCCUGGGCUACACACGUGCUACAAUGGUCGGUACAAAGGGUUGCCAAGCCGCGAGGUGGAGCUAAUCCCAUAAAACCGAUCGUAGUCCGGAUCGCAGUCUGCCAACUCGACUGCGUGAAGUCGGAAUCGCUAGUAAUCGUGAAUCAGAAUGUCACGGUGAAUACGUUCCCGGGCCUU